GAGGGGGUGACUAGUGAGAGAGUGAGGGAGGGGGUCACUAGUGACAGAGUGAGGGAGAGAGGGGGUCACUAGUGACAGAGUGACUCUGUCCCUAGUCACCCCCUUCCUCACUCUGUCCCGUCACCCCUUCCCUCCGUCACUAGUCACCCCUUCCUUCCCUCCCUCUGUCACUAGUUACCCCUUCCCUCCCUCUGUCACUAAUCACCCCUUCCCUCACUCUGUCACUAGUCACACCCUCCCUC